CUCAGCCUGGAGCAAAAUAUUGUCCCCGGUUGGGGAGAGGAGGAUCACCCUGCCAUACCUCCCAGGGGUGUGUAAGUCCGAAUAGAGCUGGCUUUUGGACUGGUCCAGGGGGAAAAGGCUGCUGGCCAGGCUGCGCUCGAUCUUGGCCAGGCUGUGGCUGGGAGCGACCAGGCGCUCCAGGUCGCCCUCGGGCUGGAAGCGGUUGAGCGCGCUGAGGCCGAAGGUGAUUGUCAGGACUGCGGGCACGGUGAGGAAAAAGACCGGGUGCCGGCUCACGCACAAACCCAGCCUGUGGCAGAACGACUGGAGCCCUCUGCGAAGCACCUGCCGCAGCAUCCUCCACCAGAUCCAGCUCGCAGGCGCUCCCGGCCGUCUUAAAAAGCACAUGUGACAUGUGUAGGAUGAUGCUGCAUUUUUAACACACCACACAGCAUGCAAGGGAUUUCCUCGCAACACCUU
rnacentral:lncRNA from 1 species